AUACGUAGGGAGCGAGCGUUGUCCGGAUUUACUGGGUGUAAAGGGUGCGUAGGCGGCUCUGCAAGUCAGGUGUGAAAACCAUCGGCUUAACUGAUGGACUGCAUUUGAAACUGUGGGGCUUGAGUGGAGUAGAGGCAGACGGAAUUCCCGGUGUAGCGGUGAAAUGCGUAGAGAUCGGGAAGAACACCAGUGGCGAAGGCGGUCUGCUGGGCUCUAACUGACGCUGAGGCACGAAAGCAUGGGUAGCAAACAGGAUUAGAUACCCUGGUAGUCCAUGCCGUAAACGAUGAUUACUAGGUGUGGGGAGUCUGACCCUCUCCGUGCCGGAGUUAACACAAUAAGCACUCCGCCUGGGGAGUACGGUCGCAAGACUGAA
rnacentral:rRNA from 1 species